rnacentral:lncRNA from 1 species
UAAAGUCCAGUUUACAAGAGCCCAAACACAAGCCCAAGUACCUCAGACCCGUUCCACCGGUUACAACCUGUAACCUAGCAGUCCAAAUGCCAAUAACCCCAUAAGCCUACUACUGCCCUAUACCCAUUUACAUCCGAAGCCCAAAUCUAAAACAGCCCAAAAGGCCCAAAGGACUUAAGGGAAGCAGGUAACCCUAGGGCUUCUUAAACACUGUGGCACCGCAAGAGGUUCUAGAGGGUUCGGGGAGCGUCUGUUCAGUCCCCGAAAUCGAGGCCGCCAUUAAUGCGCUAUCCCAAGGGCCUUCAAUGCUCACCAGUGCCCCGGUCACCGGUCGUCCCUUUAUCCGGCCCCAAAUCGCGUCACAAGCAGCACGACCAUCACCGAGAUCUUCGGGUACCUGCAAAAUGAAAAAGGAAACACAACAGAUACGAAAAAGCAGAGCAAGAAAAAGGAAACUAAAUCAAGGGAAUCUCAACAGAUCAUGGUCAAAGAUACGGUGGAUACAGUAGAUAAGAAAUGGAAAGAAAUCGAAGAUUUCUUUCCCAGUUUAUGUAAUAACAGCAGUGGCUAUAAAAACCCGAAUCAAAACAAUGUAAAGGGGAGCUUUUUUGACAAAAAUAAAAUAUAUACAGAUAUUACCCACAGAAGAAACAAGAAACAGUUUAUUUCAGAAGGUGAUUAUUUAUCUUAUGUUUCACUUUUUUUCUUUUUUCCUUAGGCGAAUAUACAAAUUGUUUUUUAAAAAACUAGUAACGUUUAAAAGAAAAGGGGUUACCUGUGGAAGGACGAAGGUUUUUAAAUCUUCAGACCACCACGUACGGCGGCGCGUGAGGCGCGUGUGCAAACGCUGCACUGUAGCUGGAGGCCAGAGCCGGGGACCUUUCUUUUCCCCUCUGCAGAGAGUUUUAGGCCCUUUUUUU